ensembl:lncRNA
CCGGUGGCCAUGAAUUGGGAUAGGCCUAAUAUUAAUAAUAACAUCAAGUUAGUUUGAAAUACUGCAUGCAUGACAGAGCCAGACAUUUAGAAGGCCAACACACAUUUUUGAAAGCCACACAUUGUUUACGGCGAAAAAAGAGAUUACAAAUAUUAUUUUGGAACCACGCAAGCCUUGAUGCCUGGAGCAAUUUGUGGCACAUGUGUACACAUUAUUACGCCGCAAACGGUUGCGUAGUAGCCUAAUGUGUCAACCGUUUGUGGCGUUAUAAUGUGUGUAACAGAACAGCCUAACACGUGCAUCAUGCCGAGUGAGGCUCAAUGGCCUGUUGCUCAUCUCCUACAGUUUUGAGUGUCCAAGGAAGGCAGAAUUCUCCGACAGGGACUGAUCAUAAAAGAAACCAAACACAAUAUCAUUGUCAAACGCAUUGUCCAGGAGGAGAGAGGAACUUCUCUGACUUCUGCAGGGUUCAUCAGACCUACAGCGUUGCCACACAGACCCUCCUGACGUCUUUCCCCCAACCCCCAUCUGUCCCGCGGAACAACUCAACCGCAGGUUCGCCAACGUUGACAGAUUGCUCCUCAGGUUCUCCAUCUGUGGACAUUCAGCCAGAGCCGGAGACGAUCUCAGUGAAGGAGAAUAUGGAACCAGUUAUGUCCGCUGGUCAGGGCGCUGACCAAAUCAGAGAGGUCGGGGAUGAGGUCACCAAUAUCCUUCAGAGAACAGUGGGUGAUUAGAUAAUGACCAUUUGUUCCACGACAGCAUAACACAGUUUGGCUUAGCAACCACGUCAUUCCAUGAAGAAAAAAACUAAAUUAAUUGAAAAAUCUGAUGGUGUUUCAUUAAAGACACAACUAUGCUAAAAAAGUGCAUUCAUCCCAUUGGCACUUCUCCACAUCACUUCAAUAUGAUUUAUUUGGUAAAUUUGUGGGACAUUUUCUGCACAUGUAUGUACUGUGUUUGUACAGGAGGUGAAAGUUCAAUGGGGCUCCGGCUCCUAUGUCCUCUUGGGUUUGGUCACAUUCGUGACCAGCUUCGCUGUUAUGUACCUUUACCAGCACCCCCAUCUGGACCCCCGCCAGCACUGACAUGAAAUCAAAUAAACCUUUCUCUUGAUUGGAUCCUUUGAUGAUGGCUUACAUGGCAGUUUACGAGCCAUGUUUGGCUUGUGUUUUCACUACCUGGACACUGAUGUCACAAAGGGAAGAAUCAAUGUUGGUAGUGUUGGUUGUAAAAGAGCUUAGUAAAUAAAUAGCCCCACUAUGUAGAUGCCAUUGCCACACACACUCUUUUUUUGUGUGCGUCAACAGUGAAGUCAACUUGCUUUUUGUGUAUUUAUGACAUAAUUUUCAAAUGACUGAGUAAUGAACACUUUUUGU